GGCCUCUGCCAGCAGAACCCCACUGGCCAGGCGUGAGCUGUCCUCUGAAAUGCCCAGAGGCCAAAAUGUUCUUUGGAGGAUCUUAUUCAGCUGAACUGCAAUGCUGUCUCCACCUCCCUAGCUGCUGGGAUUAUACAGGCGUGGGCCACCACAUCUGGCUUCAAUGUUGUCAGCCCUGGGUGGCGUCAGGGAUGCCAGGAACAGGAGAACCAGAAGAGGCUGUUGACAUGCUCAGGGAGAGAGCAAGAACUGGUUAAAGCCUCAGACACCAGCCUGUCUGACCACAGAGCCUAAGAUGCGUGAAGACAGAGAUUCGAUCAAAUGUGGCUUCCAGCUGUAUCCGCAGGUCUCAAGACUGACACCCUGUGAAUACUAGCGAAAGAAACAGAUACCUGGAUGCCACCACUCUUUGGCUCAGUGACUGUCAGUGUCUCCCGGCUGUAGUCAAGGUAUUAAACCUAGGCUUCUUGCUCUGCCCUGGGAGGGAAGUGACUGUCACUCACAGAACAAGCAGGGACACAUUAUGCAGGUCAAAGGGGAUGCUGCAAACCAGUAUCUUAGAACAACAACACAACAGACUUUUCUUUUUCAAACAGGGAGGCAUAGCUGCCACACUUGUCCGAAGCCCAGGGAACGGUGUCUGUCUUUCUCUCUGGCUUCCUUCUCCGACCCACUCCCUCUCUGAGCCAUCUGCAGUUUCGCCCUUCAACCCAGAGAAGUCCUUUGAGUAGCUGGAGCUAGCUCGUUAUUGUGGCCCCACAUUGAACACUACCUGCCCAAGAGCCCUUCCCUGACCACACAUUCCCACUCAAACCACCUCCAUCUCAAAGUUGUGACUUGUGCCCCACCCCGCCCCCGCCCCCUUGCUCUCAGCUCUGUGUCUGAGAUCCCUUCUUUGGCGCUGGCAGGCAGGAUGCAUUGAAUUCCCCCAGGCACCUGUCAGCUUCUAGGGAGGUGUUUCUGAGGGUAAACUGACUCUAUCUGGGGAGGUACAGGGAGCAGGGAAGGAAAGACGACUGACUGUGCCUACGAAGUCACCCCAGAAAUCAGAAUUACUUUCUCCUCAGUCCCCCAGUUGUUUCAUCUGAGAGGACUCUGGGGGCCGAGUCUGAAUAAAGAUUACAAACCACCUUCCCC
ensembl:lincRNA Gm45229 predicted gene 45229